rnacentral:tRNA from 1 species
GGGGCGGUAGUUCAGUUGGGAGAACGCCUGAAUGGCAUUCAGGAGGUCAGGGGUUCGACUCCCCUCCGCUCCA